rnacentral:ncRNA from 1 species
GGGGAUGUGCUUAGAGUCCCCAGGAUGUGGCGUGUUAAUAGAGGUAUUCUGUGGCCGGAAGCCUUGGUUAGUGAAUC